rnacentral:rRNA from 1 species
GACGAACGCUGGCGGCGUGCUUAACACAUGCAAGUCGAACGAAGUGGCGAACGGGUGAGUAACGCGUAAUCAACCUGCCCUUCAGCGGGGGACAACAGUUGGAAACGACUGCUAAUAUCGCAUACUGAAGGAGGGGCUUGCGUCGGAUUAGGUAGUUGGAGGGGUAACGGCCCACCAAGGCGAUGUUCAGUAGCCGGACUGGGGGGAGGGACGGGCACAAUGGGACUGGGACACGGGCCAGACUCCUACGGGAAGCAGCAGUGGGGGAUCUUCCGCAAUGGACGAAAAUCUGGCGGAGCAACGCCGCGUGAGUGAUGACGGCCUUCGGGUUGGAAAGCUCUGUUAAUCGGGACGCGGUACCGGAAUAGAAAGCCACGGCUAACUACGUGCCAGCCGCCGCGGUAAUUC